GACGAACGCUGGCGGCGUGCCUAAUACAUGCAAGUCGAACGCAGUGGGGACGGGUGAGUAACACGUGGGUAACCUCCCAUCAGAGGGGAUAACCCUUGGAAACAGGUGCUAAACCGAUACUGAUGGAUGGACCCGCGGUGCAUUAGCUCGUUGGGGAGGUACCGGCUCACCAAGGACACGAGGCAUAGCCUACCUGAGAGGUGGAUCGGCCAAACGGGGACUGAGACACGGCCCAGACUCCUACGGGAGGCAGCAGUAGGGAAUCUUCGGCAAUGGACGAAAGUCUGACCGAGCAACGCCGCGUGAGUGAAGAAGGUUUUCGGAUCGUAAAACUCUGUGGUUAGAGAAGCGGUAUCUAACCAGAAAGCCACGGCUAACUACGUGCCAGCAGCCGCGGUAAUU
rnacentral:rRNA from 1 species